GAUGAACGCUAGCUACAGGCUUAACACAUGCAAGUCGAGGGGAAACGACAUCGAAAUCUUGCUUUUGAUUUGCGUCGACCGGCGCACGGGAGAGUAACGCGUCUCCCACCUGCCCAUCACUUGGGAAUAACCAUGCGAAAGUAAGACUAAUACCCAAUGAUAUCCGCCGAAGGCAUCGGAAUGGGACUAAAGAUUUAUCGGUGAUGGAUGGGGAUGCGUCUGAUUAGCUUGUUGGCGGGGUAACGGCACACCAAGGCAACGAUCAGUAGGUGUUCUGAGAGGAAGCUCCCCUAGAAUGGAGCUGAGACACAGACCAAUAUCCUAGGGGAGGCAGCAGUGUGGAACGUUGUGCAAUGGGGGAGAGCGUAGACACGCCAAGUAGGUGACGGGAAGACGGGACUAGGGAUAGUAAGCUACUUUUAAAAAAGAAUAAAGUGGGUAACGUGUGACUUUUUGCAGGUACCUAAUGAAUAAGGACCGGCUAAUUCCGUG
rnacentral:rRNA from 1 species